CACUAACGGUACUUCAUCCUAUUUUUUGAUUUAGUUAACUACGAAAAAACUCCAGCAUGUUAGCGUCCUGAUGUAGUAUUGUUUGUGCAAACAUUUGUAUCUUCAAAAUUUGUUUGGUUUUUAUUAAAUUCUCACAUUUUUAUUUAAAUCGUGUACCAAAUAAUAUUGAUCUUAAUCAUAUCAAAUAAUAUUGUUCUUAAAUAUUUAAAUUCUGCAUUAUUUGAUAAUAUUAUCGCUUUAAAUUUAUCCUUCUGUUUUGUGCGUGGGUACUGUUUUUGUCUCGUAUUUUUCAGAAUUGUCUUACUAUUCGAUUCGCUGCUGCUGAAGUUUCAACAAGCUGGUGAGGUGGUUCAAGUUUUGGGUGGUUCAAUGAGGUGGUUCAAGUUUUGCCGAAGCUCCGAAUGAGGUGGUUCAAGUUUUGCCGAAGCUCCGAAUGAGGUGGUUCAAGUUUUGCCGAAGCUCCGAAUGAGGUGGUUCAAGUUUUGCCGAAGCUCCGAAUGAGGUGGUUCAAGUUUUGCCGAAGCUCCGAAUGAGGUGGUUCAAGUUUUGCCGAAGCUCCGAAUGAGGCGGCCCACAGUAAUAACUUAAGGGAUUGUGAUGCAAAAAGCAA